rnacentral:rRNA from 1 species
ACGGGUGAGUAACGCGUAGGAAUAUGCCUUAAAGAGGGGGAUAACUUGGGGAAACUCAAGCUAAUACCGCAUAAUCUCUGAGGAGGAAAGCUGGGGACCUUCGGGCCUGGCGCUUUAAGAGUAGCCUGCGUCCGAUUAACUAGUUGGUGGGGUAAAGGCCUACCAAGGCGACGAUCGGUAGCUGGUCUAAGAGGAUGGACAGCCACACUGGGACUGAGACACGGCCCAGACUCCUACGGGAGGCAGCAGUGGGGAAUAUUGGACAAUGGGGGCAACCCUGAUCCAGCAAUGCCGCGUGUGUGAAGAAGGCCUGAGGGUUGUAAAGCACUUUUGGUGGGGAGGAGAGGCGACUGGUUAAGAGCUAGUUGAAGAGACGUUACCCACAGAAGAAGCACCGGCAAACUCCGUGCCAGCAGCCGCGGUAAUACGGAGGGUGCGAGCGUUAAUCGGAAUUACUGGGCGUAAAGGGUGCGUAGGUGGUUAAUUAAGUUAUCUGUGAAAUACCCGGGCUUAACCUGGGCAGGUCAGAUAAGACUGGUUGACUUGAGUAUGGGAGAGGGUAGUGGAAUUUCCGGUGU